CCUUUAUUUUGUCUAAUUUAAAACUAAAAUUUUAAGAUUUUUUUGGACAAUGAAAUAUAAUAUUUCAUUAAACAAAUAACAACAAUACAACUACUUACAAUACAUCACCGGUACACAUUACUAACAUCAAAAUACAGUGAUCCAUUUCAGUUACAAAGAUCCAUUGCAGUGAUCAAUUGGAUUGACCCAUAAAAUUUUAUUGAAGAACAGGAAGAAACAAUUGUACACUGGAAGUAAAAAGAGCCAUUCACAGAGCACAUAUAAUUCGAGCUCUAUUUGGGAUUCCAUGGCUCGUUUGAAAUAAUCUCUUUCACCAUAGUUAUGCUUUCGAAAUCGAUCCACACCCUGUAACUUUACAAAUAUGAGAAAUAUAGACUCUAGAUCUAAAAGUUGAAGGGUUAUGUACUGGAAAACAGAACAAACCAACAUUACCACCAUCAUAUGUACAUUUUUACCAUCACAGAUCAAGAUCUGAAUGGACACACAACAGCCAUUCUCAAACUCAAAGGAGGAAGAAGCUGAAAUAGAACAACCAUCCUCAAACCUAAAGGUAGAGGAGGCCAAAACAAGACAGCCAUCCUCAACCUUUAAGGAGGAGGAGGUUGCAACCAAAAAAAAAAAAAAAGGAGAUACCACUGGAGGAGGAGAGAAAGAUUUCCCUUUCUAGGGAUUUGGUGAGGAAGAGAUGUAGAGCUUUAAGAGGAAAAUAUUUUGGAAAGAUCUAGAGAUUGGUUUUAAAGAUGUGUUUUUAAAAUUUUAAAUAUUUAAAAUUUGAGAUUUCG
rnacentral:lncRNA from 1 species